rnacentral:SRP_RNA from 1 species
CGGCUGUAAUGGUCAAUUUGGUUAAGGAGGCGCUCGAUUUUCUCGUCGUCUCUCACCCAUUACCAUCAGAACCCCCCAGUGGCGCCCAGCACGAACCCUGCGGUGGCCAUCCACUCGCACGGGUAGCCUGCGAUUGCUGCGCUUGGCCCUAAGCAAUGAAGAUGACACUUCAGGGAGGCUUCACUCCGCAGAGACAUCUUCACCGUCGGGUGGCGCGCUGGAUGACGAUCACUGGGGGUUUGGGUUAGAGCGGCGAGAUGGAGAGGCCAACUCCAUUU